rnacentral:rRNA from 1 species
CUACGGGAGGCAGCAGUAAGGAAUAUUGGUCAAUGGAGGGAACUCUGAACCAGCCAUGCCGCGUGCAGGAUGACUGCCCUAUGGGUUGUAAACUGCUUUUGUCAGGGAAUAAACCUUUCUACGUGUAGGAAGCUGAAUGUACCUGAAGAAUAAGGAUCGGCUAACUCCGUGCCAGCAGCCGCGGUAAUACGGAGGAUCCAAGCGUUAUCCGGAUUUAUUGGGUUUAAAGGGUGCGUAGGCGGUCCUAUAAGUCAGUGGUGAAAGACGGCAGCUUAACUGUCGCAGUGCCUUUGAUACUGUAGGACUUGAAUCUAUUUGAAGUGGGCGGAAUGAGACAAGUAGCGGUGAAAUGCAUAGAUAUGUCUUAGAACUCCGAUUGCGAAGGCAGCUCACUAAGUUAGUAUUGACGCUGAUGCACGAAAGCGUGGGGAUCAAACAGGAU